CCACUUUUUCACUUGUACAUACGGCACUUAAUGGGUUAAGAUUGAUACAUAUUUAACCAGUAUGGCUACGAUGUUUAAUAUUUACACAUCAUGGCACUUUACUUUUCACAUAUACUGUACGUAUUAAGAUAAGCUUGGUCUAUGCCAUAUUUCCUUAUGCCAUACGGUUUUAUCCAUUCAGGUUACAGUUACUACUAAAAAACCUAUACGGAUUGUCAGGUUCAAUACCAUACUACCAGGUACAUACACCUGCUCACGUAGUUAUCCAUCUCUUACCAUCCCUGGAAUAGUAAUAGCGUACUGGCAAUUAGGGUUCUAGGGCCCAAUAGGUAUUACCCCCUUUUUUCUCUGCAUUACACUUCGGUUAGUGGUCUCGCGAGGCCAACACCCCACCUCACACUCGGAGGCAUACACCACUCGGGCCACUCGUGAGCUAGCUGCUUCGCAUUGUAUCAUAGAAAGGGCCUCACCUGUCACUCCCCUUCCUAUUUUCUGGUUACUGUCACUGAGAGGCCAACAUCUUGCCACAACGUUCUGUGGCCACAAAAAAUCCCCUCGUGCCAACGCAUAGAUAGAGCCUCUCAAGCCACUUUGCAACUAGCAGGACCUCACCAGUCACCAAAAAACACCAAGCCUAAUCGUUUCGCCUUACAGCUUAGCUAGCAAACCAGUACAAGACCCCUGGGUACAAAUAAUAAUUGCAAUCUUUAUUGUUAUUUAAGAAUUUCUCAAAAAGAUGGUGAAGAAUCACCUCUUCCUAGCACCCCGGCUAGAAUUGAUACACCUUCAAGCAGAGGAGAUGUUGCUAGUCCAGCAGCAAUCAGAUCCUGGACGAUCCCACACAUUACCACCGACCUAAGGAGGCGACAAAUCCCCUACCCUGCCACGGCAAGGAAAGCAGAGUUAUUCAAACUCCUCCAUACAUCAACGGACAACACGGAGGCAGGGGAAGGCC